ensembl:lncRNA
UGCCAAGGUCAAGGUGGAUGUUGCCGCGGUUAUGAUUUUCUACAUGAAAAGCUGGUUGGUGUGAUCACCACCUCAUUUCUGCACUGCCUGAUGGUCAUAUAUGUUAAAGAUAUACAGGCCCAGGGGAUGAUACCAAUACAGGUUAAUUCAGGCCCAGGGGAUGAUACCAAUACAGGUUAAUUCAGGCCCAGGGGAUGAUACCAAUACAGGCCCAGGGGAUGAUACCAAUACAGGUUAAUACAGGCGAAGGGGAUGAUACCAAUACAGGUUAAUACAGGCCCAGGGAAUGAUACCAAUACAGGUUAAUACAAGCCCAGGGGACGAUACCAAUACAGGUUAAUACAGG